AAUGGGUCAGCGACUUAUAUUCUGUAGCAAGGUUAACCGAAUAGGGGAGCCGAAGGGAAACCGAGUCUUAACUGGGCGUUAAGUUGCAGGGUAUAGACCCGAAACCCGGUGAUCUAGCCAUGGGCAGGUUGAAGGUUGGGUAACACUAACUGGAGGACCGAACCGACUAAUGUUGAAAAAUUAGCGGAUGACUUGUGGCUGGGGGUGAAAGGCCAAUCAAACCGGGAGAUAGCUGGUUCUCCCCGAAAGCUAUUUAGGUAGCGCCUCGUGAAUUCAUCUCCGGGGGUAGAGCACUGUUUCGGCAAGGGGGUCAUCCCGACUUACCAACCCGAUGCAAACUGCGAAUACCGGAGAAUGUUAUCACGGGAGACACACGGCGGGUGCUAACGUCCGUCGUGAAGAGGGAAACAACCCAGACCGCCAGCUAAGGUCCCAAAGUCAUGGUUAAGUGGGAAACGAUGUGGGAAGGCCCAGACAGCCAGGAUGUUGGCUUAGAAGCAGCCAUCAUUUAAAGAAAGCGUAAUAGCUCACUGGUCGAGUCGGCCUGCGCGGAAGAUGUAACGGGGCUAAACCAUGCACCGAAGCUGCGGCAGCGACACUGUGUGUUGUUGGGUAGGGGAGCGUUCUGUAAGCCUGUGAAGGUGUGCUGUGAGGCAUGCUGGAGGUAUCAGAAGUGCGAAUGCUGACAUAAGUAACGAUAAAGCGGGUGAAAAGCCCGCUCGCCGGAAGACCAAGGGUUCCUGUCCAACGUUAAUCGGGGCAGGGUGAGUCGACCCCUAAGGCGAGGCCGAAAGGCGUAGUCGAUGGGAAACAGGUUAAUAUUCCUGUACUUGGUGUUACUGCGAAGGGGGGACGGAGAAGGCUAUGUUGGCCGGGCGACGGUUGUCCCGGUUUAAGCGUGUAGGCUGGUUUUCCAGGCAAAUCCGGAAAAUCAAGGCUGAGGCGUGAUGACGAGGCACUACGGU
rnacentral:rRNA from 1 species